AAUAAAGCAGCAGGAGCAGAUGAACUCUUAGAAACAAAGAUCCUAAUUUUUUUACAGCAAAGGACAUCCCUCACUAAGCCUACCUGGCUUUACAGAUUAUACCCUCCUGGAAUCCCACAGAGUAAUACACGAAUUCUAGAAAAGCACCCACGUAAAAUCUGCUGGUUUGUCAUAAGGCAAGCCCAAACAUGGGAGGGCGAGGUGGGGAUAAAGCAAAUGCCUCUCAGGUGUCAGUCAAAAUAAUUGUUAGCUUCCACUACCAGGGCGACAUUCACUGGAAAGAAUAAAAUAUCUCCAGAGCUAUCCUUAUUAAGCCAAACGUAAUAAGAAUUUGCACCAGUCAGUGGCUGCGGAAGCCACUAAUGAAAGUCCCUUUGACCUGGAGACAUGCCAGCCCAUGGGGGAUGAACAGUUUGUCUCCAGUCUUUGCAGAGGGGAUAUGGAUGAUCACAGUGCUUGUUGGGUCAACCCAGAGUUUAAGAAGGGCUCUCUGUGAAGCCUUUCCAGGAGAGUGGAGUUCCGAGGGCAGAGCAGCAUGGAGACCCUAGGCUUGCCUCGUCCCUGAAACGCAACUAGAUCAGCAGCAAACCAUUUUGCACGCCUAGGAAACUGAUCUGGGGAUUAACACAACAAUCUGCAUAACUUGAGCCACACAACUCAGCAGCAGGCUCCAUGUUUGAUUCAACCUCUAUUCCUGUGUUCCUAAUGGUGCCUGCCCAAAGUAAGCACUUAAAAGACACCUGUGUGCCGAACCACCAAAAGCAAAGAGUGGUUAGUGUAGUGGUAAGGCAGCCAAGCUAAUGAACUCAACUAGCCAUCCUGGAAGCACAUGGUGACAGGAAGGCAACAGUGAACACGAGCAGGUGAGUAAGUAAAAUUCUAUCACCACUUCAGGAAAAGUAGCUUAUGAGCCAGCAGCAUUUUCUUCAUAUGUAAAGGGUAGCUCUUGAGUUUUAGUAUAAUCUGUACCUUUCUUUCAAAUGUUUGAUAGAAGUAGCAUGACAACAGCCUUGAAUGCAUUUAUUUUCAUUAUCAGUAUAAUCAAGUGAAUACCUACAAAGAUGCCCGAGAGAUGGAACUAUAGUCUCAUUGAGUUGGAAGUGGCAUUGUGUGACAUCACUGUGAGCACCCGAGGAUACAGAACGCUUAUCAUCAUCUUCACGCUAACUUGUGUAGAGAUCAUGUUCAACAAAAAUUAGUUGAAAAAGGGGCGCCUGGGUGGCUCCGCCGGUUAAGCAUCUGACUCUUAAUUUUGGCUCAGGUCACAAUCUCGUGGUUCGUGAGUUCGAGCCCCAUGUCGGGCUCUGCGCUGAUGGUGCAGAGCC